rnacentral:lncRNA from 1 species
GCUUUGGUUCCCUUUCAACACAAUGGAGAAACAUUUGCAUACAUGAGUGACUGCAAUACUUCUCUUUGUUACUUUACCCAUUAUGUUUUCUAUGGCAUUUCUUUGAUUCUAAGGUGCCAUUGAUUACAGGUCUCACUAGUGAAUUAAUAACAGCUUUUCUAAACAUUUCUAAUAUGUUAAACGAGUAAAAAACAUGAGUCUUAGAAUCAAGACAAAAUGAUUUUUCAAAGGUAAUUUUCAACUAGGCUUUAAAGAUUCCCAACUGUAAAUUAGUAUGUCAAGCAGCGGCAGUCUGGUUGUAAAAAGUCUUGUAUUUUAUCUUGUGUUUAAAAAAAAAUACUUCAAGUAAGUUCAUUUCAAUAGCAAAUAAAAUUAUUAAAUAUUACUAAGGUAGGAAAAAGGGAAAGAAUACCAUUUAUUUGAUAUUGGCUACUUGCAUUGUACUAUGUGCUUUAUACAAGUACUUUCACUUAUUAUUUACAACAAUCCUAUGAAAUAUAUACUGUUUUUCCCACUUUUAGAUUUGAGGUCGCUCUGGGUCCAAAGAGGUUAAAUGACAACAACAACAGCUUGACCAAAAUAUGAGAUCUAGUAAGUGGCAGAAUGGCAAGUCAAAAUGUCUAAGACCUUUUCCAUUAUAAUGUCUCUCCAAGAAAUGCCAUUUUGAGAAGUAUACAACAGACAAAAUCUCUGCAAAAAAAUACUCUCAUAUGUGCUUGGAACACCUUGCCUAGAAAUCUACCUUUUAUAUCAUCUCAAACUUCUUCAGGGAUAUUUACCCUCUGAUCACUAACCUUAAUGCCAAUGUCAGACCUCAGAGAUAAUUCUGAGUGAUUAUAUUGUCAUAUUUUAAUUAAAUCAUCUUUUCUAAAAUUCAGUUAAGAUCCCCUUAUCUUCACAUAUAUCAGGAUACCCUUUCUUUAAUGAGAUUAAACUGGUUACUCAUGUUCUAUCCAGGCCUGUAGUUGCCAGAGGUGGUUAGGAGCUUGUGUGAAGCCAUGCUGGGCUGGUUUUGAGCCCUUGCUUCACUGGUUUCCUAGCUGUGGGACUCUGGACCACUUACUGAGCUUCUUUAAGUCCCAAUGUCACCACCAUUUAAGAGUCCAUGUCAUUAAGCUCUUAGCCCACUUAGCACAGAGUAAGCCCAAUUGAUUCAUUCCAUAAAUAUUUUAAAUGUAGCUGAAGCAUGUAGCCCAUAAAAGGGAAUUCAAAAUCUCAGUGCAUUUAACUUUAGCUUAGGCAGUGAGCAAAGUGUGCUCAGUGUCUUUAUAUAUAAGUAAUUAAAUCUAAUUUUAGACUUGGGCAUACUAUAUUCGGUUCCAUCACACUGAUUAACAAUCAAACAUUGCCUUCCCUUUAGGAAAAGCACUGUUGAAAAUUCUACGAUGGUCUGUAUCGCGUACCUCUUAGAGGUCGUGAUCAAAACAUCAAGAAUCAAGGUGAACUUCAGUUUACAAAGAAUGACAAAUACCUAAAAAAAAAUGUGUUUCUCAGAAUUUGUUCCAUGGAUGCUGACCCUCCUGACAUACUUCUAGAUGAAAAAGCGCUGCCUGCAAUUUUGGAUUCGCACUGUAUAAAAUAUUCCCUUUUGGUCAUACACACUCAUCAAGCACUCUAUGAUCACCAGUAGUAAGGAAACCUGUUGAAUGCUACAAAUUUAUAAUUUCCUAAAUUUGUAUGAUUACAGAAUUUUUCCCCCCACGUAAUACCUACUACGUCGAGUUCUACAGAAACAGAGUCCAGGAUUCAGGAGCCCUUACUGAAAAGUUUACCAAAAAACUCUUCUUUAAUCUCUCAUAACAGUAAUGGCAUUAUGGAUUGCCUUUCAAAUUUUCAGAAAAGUUCUGCUAUGGAGGCAUGAAGUCAUAUGUUAAAAGUUCAACUACUUUAGUAUUGAGGGCUCCAGGAUGAGAAGAGCAUAUGGCAGGGAGCCUUAUGCUUUCUACUUUUAUUAAUGGUUCUAGUUCCAUAAAAAGCGUUAUGAUUUUAUUUGGCAAUAGAUUCCUGCCACAGGGGGGAAAAUAUCUUUAGGCUAUAAUAUGGCUAGAAGAAUUCAUUUUGUCCUAGCAAGAGGAAAAAAAAAAAAUUUACAUGGGACUAGAGAUUCUUCCUCCUCAUAAAAUAGCAACAUGUAUCUAGUAAUUCAUAACUGUGCUUGCUAAGAGAGAAAAAAUAUUCCACAGUAAAACAUGGUGUGAGCUUACUGGUCACCCACUUAGGAAAAUUUCAUUAAAUUCAAAUCACCCAUAUGAGAAUCAAACACCCAAGGAAAAUGAUGUGCUUUAUUUGCAUUUUUUCUGAAAUCUACUGCAAGACAGAAUAUCAAUUAUUAUUUUUUAUUGCUCCAUGAAUUUUAUUACAUUUAUAGUUGUACAACGAUCAUCACAACCCAAUUUUAUAGCAUUUCCAUCCCAAAUCCCCAGCACAUCCCCCCAGUCCCCAACCUGUCUCAUUUGGAAAGCAUAAGUUUUUCAAAGUCUGUGAGUCAGUACCUGCUCUGCAAAGAAGUUCAUUGUGUCAUUUUUUUAGAUUCCACAUGUCAGUGAUAGCAUUUGAUGUUGCUGUCUCACCAUCUGACUGACUUUGCUUAGCAUGACAAUUUCUAGGUCCAUCCAUGUUGCUGCAAAUGCUGUUAUUUCUUUCCUUUUAAUGACUGAGUAAUAUU